AGCGAACGCUGGCGGCAGGCCUAAUACAUGCAAGUCGAGCGGUCCCUUCGGGGGCAGCGGCGGACGGGUGAGUAACGCGUGGGAACGUGCCCUUUGGUACGGAACAACUGAGGGAAACUUCAGCUAAUACCGUAUGUGCCCUUCGGGGGAAAGAUUUAUCGCCAUUGGAGCGGCCCGCGUUGGAUUAGGUAGUUGGUGAGGUAAAGGCUCACCAAGCCUACGAUCCAUAGCUGGUCUGAGAGGAUGAUCAGCCACACUGGGACUGAGACACGGUCCAUACACCUACGGGUGGCAGCAGUAGGGAAUAUUAGAAAUGGGCGGAAGCCUGAUCUAGCAACACCGCGUGUGCGAUGAAGGCCUUCGGGUCGUAGAGCACGUUUUGGGGGGAAUAGGAAGGAAGGUACCUCCAGAAUAAGUCUCGGCUAACUACGUGCCAGCAGCCGCGGUAAGCUAGUCUACG
rnacentral:rRNA from 1 species